rnacentral:lncRNA from 1 species
AAGAGCAGCGAGCUUGAAUAUACCAUAUGCUGUGGCACCAACAGAGCAACCCUCAGAUGUCGCUAACCCUGCGCCUUCAGAGAACCAGGAUGAAGCAACCUCACACAGUAAGCAGGAUGAAGCAACCUCAUCUAGUAGUUCAAAAUCCAGUAGAACAAACUGGGAUGAAUUGGUGGAGAAGCUCUUCACCAGGACUGCUUCUGGGAACCUUGUUCUGAAGAAAGAC